ACCCUUUCAACUAGCCCAACGUCAGUGGCAUGCUCAUGCAAAUUUUGGCUAGCCAUUCUCUACCUAGACCAACUAAGCUCCUCAAGGAUCCCAAGUUCCCUGGCUCACCCAGAGUAGGAUGGAAAAGACGGUAAUAAAUUAAUUUUCUGGCAUGCCUGAUGAGACAUCGUAUAGUCACUAUCAUAUUAUCCCUGGUGAGACUCUAUAUAGUCAUCGUCACAUCAAU
rnacentral:lncRNA from 1 species